rnacentral:rRNA from 1 species
UACGGAGGGUGCAAGCGUUGUCCGGAAUCACUGGGCGUAAAGGGCGCGUAGGCGGCUCAUGAAGGCUGUGGUGAAAGUCCGGGGCUCAACCUCGGAUCGGCCGUGGCGACUCGUGGGCUGGAGCACUGUAGAGGCGGGUGGAAUUCCGGGUGUAGCGGUGGAAUGCGUAGAGAUCCGGAGGAACACCGGUGGUGUAGACGGCUUUCUGGACCGUAACUGACGCUGAGACACGAAAGCGUGGGUAGCAAACAGG